GACGAACGCUGGCGGCGUGCUUAACACAUGCAAGUCGAACGGGUUUUAGUAAACAGAAGCCUCGUUGGAAGAUUACUAAUUAGAUUAGCCCUCGGAUGAGUAACGCUUGAGCAACCUGCCUAUGACAGUGGGAUAGCCUCGCGAAACCGGGAUUAAUACCGCAUAAAAUCGUAGUAACACAUUUUUUAACGGUGAAAGAUUUAUCGGUCAUAGAUGGGCUGGCGUCUGAUUAGCUAGGUGGUGAGAUAACAGCCCACCAAGGCGACGAUCAGUAGCCGGUCUGAGAGGAUGAACGGCCACAUUGGAACUGAGACACGGUCCAAACUCCUACGGGAGGCAGCAGUGGGGAAUAUUGCACAAUGGGGGAAACCCUGAUGCAGCGACGCCGCGUGAACGAAGAAGGUAUUCGUAUCGUAAAGUUCUGUCCUAUGGGAAGAUAAUGACAGUACCAUAGAAGAAAGCUCCGGCUAAAUACGUG
rnacentral:rRNA from 1 species